AUUGAACGCUGGCGGCAGGCCUAACACAUGCAAGUCGAGCGGAUGAAAGGGGCUUGCUCCUGGAUUCAGCGGCGGACGGGUGAGUAAUACGCAGGAAUCUACCUAGUAGUGGGGGAUAACGUUUCGAAAGGGGCGCUAAUACCGCAUACGUUCUGAGGAAGAAAGCAGGGGAUCGCAAGACCUUGCGCUAUUAGAUGAGCUUGCGUCCGAUUAGCUAGUUGGUGGGUAAAGGCCUACCAAGGCGACGAUCGGUAACUGGUCUGAGAGGAUGAUCAGUCACACUGGAACUGAGACACGGUCCAGACUCCUACGGGAGGCAGCAGUGGGGAAUAUUGGACAAUGGGGGCAACCCUGAUCCAGCCAUGCCGCGUGUGUGAAGAAGGCCUCGGUU
rnacentral:rRNA from 1 species